rnacentral:rRNA from 1 species
UACGUAGGGUGCGAGCGUUGUCCGGAAUUACUGGGCGUAAAGAGCUCGUAGGUGGUUUGUCGCGUUGUUCGUGAAAACUCACAACUCAAUUGUGGGCGUGCGGGCGAUACGGGCAGACUGGAGUACUGCAGGGGAGACUGGAAUUCCUGGUGUAGCGGUGGAAUGCGCAGAUAUCAGGAGGAACACCGGUGGCGAAGGCGGGUCUCUGGAACGGUACUGACGCUGAGACGCGAAAGCGUGGGGAGCGAACAGG